CACGCCCUGUACCUGUCUCAAAAGACGCGGAAAAAUGAUUUUCUAUAGAUUCCUGAAAAGAAAAAAAAGAAAAAAAAAAACUAACAAUAAACGACAGUAAAUCGGUUUUGUUUUUAUUGAUUCCCGGUUCAACACGAACCAGCAGUUAUCUAACCUGUAGUUUACAACUCCGUUCAGAAUAGUUUUUUCGAUUGCAAUGAUUUAUCUUUCAAAGCUUUCAGUAUUCUAAACAAAAUCAUACCGCCUAUAAUAUCCUGUAUGCCUUAUUUCGACUUGUAUCACUGACAACCAUGUAAUGGCCAAUGUUUAGACGUCUGUAAAAAGAUGAACAAAUUUGGAACGUCGACUUUUUACCGCGCACGCAGGUGGGUGUAAACGUUUCACAAUCAGGUCAUUUCAUUUGGGCAUCUCGUCUUGUUCAGCGGAAACUUUUCGACCGACACACGUGCGUUCACUCCCACAAAAAGCGUCAUCAAACGCGAAAGAGGGGGAAAAGACGACUUCGACUUGAUGGCGAUAAUUUCUCACCGCGCGGAACACAAAACAAUAUAUACGUCAUCGGCACAGCGGCUGCUGCCGGGUCUAUCGACUUUAUCAGCUGUGAACCGCAGACGCCGAAACAAAAUAACGCGUAUAAUAUGAUUUAUCGAACGUUGUUUGGUGAAAAAGUUCGUUUAAUCGUAUAUUAUUUUGUUAAUAGAUUUCGUCGGAACGGUUUUCGACAGCAACGUGGCCAUCGCCUGUCGCCGUCCCGACACGAUAAUCUAAUGCCAUAUGAACGAUGAAAUAAUAUUAUUAUUCUUCCGUGAUGCCGUGGUGUUCUAUAAAUUAAUUAGAUUAU